rnacentral:rRNA from 1 species
UACGUAGGGUGCGAGCGUUAAUCGGAAUUACUGGCGUAAAGCGUGCGCAGGCGGUUUUGUAAGCCAGAUGUGAAAUCCCCGGGCUCAACCUGGGAAUGGCAUUUGGGACUGCAAGGCUGGAGUGCGGCAGAGGAGACGUGGAAUCCUGGUGUAGCAGUGAAAUGCGUAGAGUAUCGAGGAGGAAUACCGAUGGCGAAGGCAGGUCU